rnacentral:rRNA from 1 species
AUUGAACGCUGGCGGCAGGCUUAACACAUGCAAGUCGAGCGGAGAUGAGGUGCUUGCACCUUAUCUUAGCGGCGGACGGGUGAGUAAUGCUUAGGAAUCUGCCUAUUAGUGGGGGACAACAUUCCGAAAGGAAUGCUAAUACCGCAUACGUCCUACGGGAGAAAGCAGGGGAUCUUCGGACCUUGCGCUAAUAGAUGAGCCUAAGUCGGAUUAGCUAGUUGGUGGGGUAAAGGCCUACCAAGGCGACGAGCUGUAGCGGGUUUGAGAGGAUGAUCCGCCACACUGGGACUGAGACACGGCCCAGACUCCUACGGGAGGCAGCAGUGGGGAAUAUUGGACAAUGGGGGAAACCCUGAUCCAGCCAUGCCGCGUGUGUGAAGAAGGCCUUAUGGUCGUAAAGCACUUUAAGCGAGGAGGAGGCUACUGAGACUAAUACUCUUGGAUAGUGGACGUUACUCGCAGAAUAAGCACCGGCUAACUCUGUGCCAGCCGCCGCCGUAA